GUGCUAACACCGGGAGCACUUCUCCCGGUCCUUUUGCAGGUUAAACGAUGAACAUGCCCUAGACGAAAUAGAUUCGAGGAUUCAAUCCUUCGACCGAGCCAAGAAUUGUCGAUCGAACCCGCUCGUAGCCGACAUGAGUCGGGGUUAUUCUAUGCACCGCUGCUAUCAGCCAUCCUCAAACACAUACAAGGUCUACAGCUCAAAACCCCAAAGAAUUACAAAUAGAUUUUGUAAUAACAUUCAAUCCGGUCGGAUCAAUUGGCGCCGUCCGUGGGAAAUCGAGUUAUAAGACGUCGAUUUUUCAAUCAUAGGCAAUAUCCAAGGAAAAAUUCGUGGGUUCAAUCCCAACUAUGGUGUUCCCCUGUUUUGCUAAGUUUAGAAAGAAUCGCAUAUUUUUCAUUCUUUCCAUUCUUCAACCUUUCUCGCCACUAGUUUUCUCUAAAGACCAAAUACGAGGGUGGUACAUAUGGUUCUUUACUGGCCCUAUUAUUUCUAAUAAAUAAUAAAUACAUAUGUUCGGCUCAUGGGUCACCGAUGCAUGGCCGAGGUCGCCUCGCUCGCGCGAAUCCGACUAGCCAUCUUUUACCAAUUCCUUGAAACCCGGCUCCUCCACUUCAAGUUCCCGGUCAAUACACCGCCCAUAGACGCUCCUUGGGUUACCCAAAAAAAAAAGGGCAAAAUGGGAGGAGAGGCUUGGAUCGGCAGGUAGCGUUCUUCGGAGUUAACUCAAUGAUUAGCUUACUGAUCGAUAGCCAGAUGAUGUGGGAACCGACUCGACUCGAGCAACAGACGCGAGGAAACCAAACUUGUAUGAGUCUGCGACCUCUUUACGGGGAGGAGUACAGAUUCACCACAGCCUGAUAAAGAGGUUAGAUCAAUAGAAAGGCCCGAGCAGACUCAUUAGCAAAGCCCGGUGGGUAAGAUUUUAUAUUACCCAUACGCAUAAAAUCGUUAAUCUUGGGGUUGCGAGAAUAGAAUGAGAAAAUUUGUGUUAUCGGGUGUUGCAAUUUAUUUUACACUGCUCAAAAGGUUUCCCCAAGUAAUUAAAUGUAGUUUCCUAUAUUCGAGAGGCGUGCAUAUUUUCCCAGAUUGAUGGUAUGUGAUGAAUAAAUGAGUCGCGGUAUUUUACCAAUGCCUUGAAGCCCAGCGCAUUCAAGUCUUCGAUUAAUACAUCUUCACCGUUGUUCGAUGCUUCCUUGAUCGCCCAAAAAAUUGGCCGGAAUUGGAGGGUAAAAUGCUAACGCUUGGCGGCAAUUUCUAGAGUAAACGAGGUCCUGGAGCUGCCUAAGUCUCUAUUUUAGACUCCCAUCACAAAGAAGUUGUUCGAUAUAAUGCCCCAAUGAAGAAGCUCUCGGCUGGACACUUUGGAAGCCUUGCCCGUGGGCCGAGGCUCAGUAUCAACAUUUCGUUAUCCAGCAUACCCAAGUGCAUUCACAUAAGAGGGAAGUUUUCUGAUCUCUAAUACUUUUUCUAUGGAAUAUUGGUCAAACUAUUUUUUGGUGUAAUUCCUAUAAGCGUGUGAAUCAGGGAUUCAACUCCGUUAUGGAUCAGUUUCAAGAAGAGUGCAUUUACCAUGAAAAGGGAGGACUGUGGAGUUCACGCUUUAUGUGAGGGAAAUUUAGUAUGUAAGCCAAUUGAUUAGAUCGAAUGCAAAAAAUCAAAUGCACUUCUUAGAGCUCUCGAGAAUCGAAUCACUUGAGGAAGGGAAAGAUGUUCUUAAAACUCACGGUUGUAGCUUAGAACUCGUUCCAUAUCUUAAAGCCAGAACGUUGAGAAUUGUAAUUCCCUAGUAGCUCGCGUCGACCCUAUGGAGCUCGCACCCACCUCUAGAGAAUGAAUUCAUGCGAACUCGAGCCUCUCCCAAUCACAUUGUGAGGUAAAUUCUCAUUCAGUACUGCACAUGUACCCCAAUGUCACUAAUUGACUAUAUGAUGAAAAAUCGAGGAAUCUUAUUUACUCGACAAUCACUGAAGCUUUGAACUAUUAUGAAAGCAGAUGAAUUGAGAUAUUGCAUAAUAUUGUUGUAGGAUUCAACAAGCAUGAUAUAACUCGUGCGAUUUAACUUACAAGCAUGAAAAUCGAUUUAUGAGACUCCUAUUUUCUUUUAAUAUUGUGCAUGUCGAGCUGAGUUCAUAUGAUUUAUGAGACCGUAGGUAAUAUUGGUUCAUCGGCACAUCAUUUUUCUCUGAUGUUCUGAGACUGCCCCCUUUUAAGUUUGAAUUAAUCUUCUAAAUCGCUGUAUGAACUUAGAAUUUUGUUGACCUUGUUUACUAGCUCUGAGGAUUGGAACUGGUUUUUGGAUGAGGAAUCUAGAGCUCGAUUUUAUAGAAUAUGAUAUUAUUAUAUCUAAUAAUGUUCAGCUCGAAGUUUUUGUUAAACCCUUAAUCAUAUGCGUAUAAGCUCGUCGAGUAAUUAUUGUAUGAUCUCUCAGAUGAUUUACUGCAAAUUAUUUAUGAUACUACUAUUUGGAAAGUUUAUCUAUUAGCUAGUAUUUCUCUCUAUGAUUUUCUAAUGAUGGAUCAUGGUGAGCUCGAAUUAAUAGACGUGGGUAGGCAAUUUUUGAACUUUUCGAAAAUUGGAUUUUGCGAAUAUGUGGAUAUAUGUUUACCAAACUAAACCAUUGUGCUCGCCAAUGAUUUCUAAAAUGAAUCUCUUAUUGAUUUUUCAAAUAAUUAUGAUUAUUUAUGGCAGCUGGUCAUAAUUUGGAUCCUCACUCGAUUUUGUGGGGCGAGUAACUGUUAACUUCUUAUAUAAGAUGUUUGAAUUUUUUAAAUGCAUUUCGCUAAAGACGCAAAUUUGUUUGGUCAUUUUGUGCAAGCAUGUUAGCUCAUUACAAUUAACAAUUAAUUGUAUUCUACUUGAUUUAGCUAUGAUCGAAAUAUGUACACUUGUUAGACGGGGCAAGUAUUUAACUUUCAUGAAUUAUUGAUACCUGUGGGCAUGUCGAUUUGGUAGUGGUGUUUCUAGAUUCUACAGACUAAUAAUAGCGCUCACAUGCUUAUGAUUUAUGAGAGUUUUCGGCUUAUACAUUUGUUGAGCAAGCUUGGAAUCGUUUCUCGAGAUUAGAUUUCCAGAAGUCGCAUGUAUUUCUAAAUGUCUUGAGUUGAUCUCUUCAACCAGCAUUCAACAUUUUUGGCAGCUCGAGUUUUCUUUUACGAGGCGAAUUCCAAUAUAUUAAUGUGAUAUAAAUUUCAAUAAUUACUUGCACAAUGAGAAUUUCUUUCGGGGUUUUUAACUGUUCAGCAAGUACUCAACUUCAAAAUAUUUUUCAACUGGAUUUGGGAUAAUACAUAACAUGCUCAUUAUUAAUGUGUUUUGAAAAGAAUUGAGAUGAGCCUCUCCGGCCUCUAUAUGCGUAAUCAGUAUAUGUGUGCUUUAUGUGAUUAUAUGUUUUCUGAGCAUUGUUCAUAAUUGAGCUGGGGAUUGAGGUUGAAUUUUAUAAUGGUAUUGAAAGGGAGUUUCUUGAAUUACGAGCGUCAAAUCUGUUAAAUCUAAUAUUACAUUCAUGUGAUAAGUGACCGAAUCGUGACCAUGUCUAUUGAAUCGGGUUAGUAAAGGAACUCGCUUACUGCGAGUGAGGCUAUUUUAUGUGAGAAUAACUACCAAUGGAGCCAUGGAGGUUUUACACCUAAUGUGUUUCUUGUUUGCGAUUCGAUUUCUGUUUUUCGUUCGUUUUUCGUUGGGUGUAGAGUAGAGUAACUCGCAAAUUAGUCUACAAAGCUAGUGACUGGGAGAGAUACGUGAAAUUGUAUAUUUUUUAAUCGUAAGAAAUUAACUUGCGGGGUCCGGCUUCUAGUUUUUGUUACUACUCAUGACAUCGAGGGGUUUUCUACAUAAAACGUUUUCAUAUUUUUCAUAGAUACACAGAGAGAAUGAUACUAUUGAGAUAUCCUAACUCACUAACUCAUCGCAAGCUUUGAACCUAGCUCUUUUCGAUUACAUAAAUUGGAAUUUAAGUUGAUCUCUGUAACCUCGAAUUUACUCUUCGAUUUUGAGAUUUUUUGAAGCUCGCAGUUCUCUCGUACAGCCCGGAGGAUUUCCUGAAGCUCGAAGCUUAUCUCCAUGAUUUACCGAAUUGAUUUUAUCGUAGUAUAGAUUUCCCGAAUAAGCUCGACACUCGCGGGACUUUGGGAACUUGCAUUUAUUUGUGGAGCUCGAAAACACCUCUCGAAUUUCGCUCCGUGGAAACUCAAAAUUCCUUCCCAGAACUCUACGAGGAGACCCUAAGGAGGUAUUGGAGCUCGGCUUCAUUGAAGCCGUGCUGAUCUGGUAAGUUCUCGUGUGUCUUACCUAUUUCCAGGCUAAGCAUGUGAAACAUAGAAAAUUCCCAAUGAAACAGAGGCUAUUAAAUUUCAGUAAGGUGUCUUUUUCCUUUGCUCGAUGAUCUAGAAAAUCUCGAAACCUAUCUUUUAAAAACGCUUUACAAAAUCGUUUGCCAAACACUGAAUGAGUAUAUGCAAUAUUGGUUUCUUCGAAGAGCCUUUUUUAUUAAUGAUAUUUUUUAUUGACGAAUCGAAUAAGUAUGCAUGAUAUUUUAAGAAAAUUUGUUAAUACAUUAUAAAUGGCAAGUAUGGCCCGAGUAGAGGUAAAAAAAUAUUACUGAGUCUUCAAUAGAGUAUUAAGUAUUUUAUUUUUGAGCAAAUGCAUUGGAGGAGAUUCAUGCCAGAGGGUUUCCGCGCCCGGGAAUUUAGCUCGAGCUGAAUGGGCCACAAAAUUGGAGAGACAUGCUUGAGCAUCCGGCACCCUGUGGAUUUUUUGAAAAUGGACGAGCGUGGCGAAAUGAAAUGGAAAAUCUAUCCGAGUAUUCAGGUAGCGAGCACGAGCUUGAUAAACAGAAAUCUAUCCGAGUAUUCGGAUAGCGAGCACGAGCUCGUUAAGACAAAAUCUACCCGAGUAUUCGGGUAGCGAGCACGAGCUCGUUAAACUAAAAUCUAUCCAAGUAUUCGGAUAGCGAGCACGAGCUCGUUAAACUGAAAUAUGUCCGAGUAUUCGGAUAGCGAGCACGAGCUCGUUAAGACAAAAAAUCUAUCCGAGUAUUCGUUUAGCGAGCACGAGCUCGUUAAGACAAAAAAUCUAUUCGAGCAUUCGGGUAGCGAGCACGAGCUCGUUAAACUGAAAUCUAUCCGAGUAUUCGGAUAGCGAGCACGAGCUCGUUAAGACAAAAAAUAUGUCCGAGUAUUCGGGUAAUGGUCACGAUCGCAUUAAUUAUCCGAAUAUCCGGGCAUCGGGCACGAGCUCGUUAAAAUAGAGAAUCUAUCCGAGUAUUCGGAUAGCGAGCACAAGCUCGUUAAAUAGAAAAAUCUAUCCGAGUAUUCGGGUAGCAAGCACGAGCUCGUUAAAUAGAGAAAUCAUCCGAGUGUUCGGGUAGAGCACGAGCUCAUAAGAUAGAGAAAUUACCCGAGUAUUCGGGCAUCGAGCUCGUUAUAUAGAGAAUCUAUUCGAGUAUUUGGGUAGCGAGCUCCAGCUCGAUAAAUAGAGAAUCUACCCGAGUGUUCGGAUAACAAGCUCGAGCUCAUUAAACAUAAAAUCUAUUAAAGUAUUUGGAAACACGGGUUUCUCAUACUUCGCCAUAACGAGCACGAGCUUGGCUGAAAGAACAUUAUAGAUCGAAAUGUAUCAAAGUAAACAUGAAAUAAGGAAAAAAUCGAGAAGGUAAAAUUCUUACGAGACAUAUAACGAGAUGGCAGGGUCGCUCAAUACGAAAAUCAUCAUACUCAGAAGUAUAAGCGAGAAAUUAGAUAUUGAUAGAACUAAUUAAACAUCAAGAAAAAUUGCAAAAAACGUAAUCGGCGGGUUAAGAAAAUUUCGCAUACUCCAAGCCGACCUAUUCAUAUUCUCACGUUCAACUUGGAGUGGGGGACUAGUUGAUCCGGUCAGAUUUAGCACGACCCAACAAGGCAAGGCCCAAUUGAAUUGGCCCAUGCCCAAUCGACUUGGGCCCAUGUACAAAGAGGAAAUGAAGCCACAUGGUAUAGGUGAUGAGAAAAUAAGCGCGAGGAGACAAUAGGCGACGAGCAAGGCGAGUGGCGAGCAAGGCGAACGACGAGCGACGAGUAAUAAAUGACGAGUAGGAAGUGGAAAGUGCCACCUCAUUACUUAAUCACUAAGGCUUAGACUUGAAGUCACUUUAUUAAGUAAAAUGAAUAAACCUGUUGAAAUCCACAAAAAUAUAUUUACUAUAAAUAGAAGCAUAUAUCAUCUUCUUCAAAGAACAAAACCACGUCAAAGAACAAAACCACGACAAUAGAAACGAUACAACGAAAUCACUGCUCUUCCUCUCUCUUUAUCUCUUUAAUUACAUCAAAUAUAUUAUGAAUCUGAGAGGUGUUCUGACUUAAGCUUCGGAGUGCUAACACCGGGAGCACUUCUCCCGGUCCUUUUGCAGGUUAAACGAUGAACAUGCCCUAGACGAAAUAGAUUCGAGGAUUCAAUCCUUUGACCGAGCCAAGAAUUGUCGAUCGAACCCGCUCGUAGCCGACAUGAGUCGGGGUUAUUCUAUGCACCGCUGCUAUCAGCCAUCCUCAAACACAUACAAGGUCUACAGCUCAAAACCCCAAAGAAUUACAAAUAGAUUUUGUAAUAACAUUCAAUCCGGUCGGAU
rnacentral:lncRNA from 1 species